GAGUUUGAUCUUGGCUCAGGAUGAACGCUGGCGGCGUGCUUAACACAUGCAAGUCGAACGGUGAAAGAGGAGCUUGCUCCUCUGGAUCAGUGGCGAACGGGUGAGUAACACGUGAGUAACCUGCCCCAGACUCUGGGAUAAGCACUGGAAACGGUGUCUAAUACCGGAUACGAGCUUCAGCCGCAUGGCUAGGAGCUGGAAAGAAUUUCGGUCUGGGAUGGACUCGCGGCCUAUCAGCUAGUUGGUGAGGUAACGGCCCACCAAGGCGACGACGGGUAGCCGGCCUGAGAGGGUGACCGGCCACACUGGGACUGAGACACGGCCCAGACUCCUACGGGAGGCAGCAGUGGGGAAUAUUGCACAAUGGGCGCAAGCCUGAUGCAGCAACGCCGCGUGA
rnacentral:rRNA from 1 species